rnacentral:rRNA from 1 species
GACGAACGCUGGCGGCGUGCUUAACACAUGCAAGUCGAACGGAAAGGCCCUGCUUUUGUGGGGUGCUCGAGUGGCGAACGGGUGAGUAACACGUGAGAACCUGCCCUUGACUUUGGGAUAACUUCAGGAAACUGGGGCUAAUACCGGAUAGGAGCUCCUGCUGCAUGGUGGGGGUUGGAAAGUUUCGGCGGUUGGGGAUGGACUCGCGGCUUAUCAGCUUGUUGGUGGGGUAGUGGCUUACCAAGGCUUUGCCGGGUAGCCGGCCUGAGAGGGUGACCGGCCACAUUGGGACUGAGAUACAGCCCAGACUCCUACGGGAGGCAGCAGUGGGGAAUAUUGCACAAUGGGCGGAAGCCUGAUGCAGCAACGCCGCGUGCGGGAUGACGGCCUUCGGGUUGUAAACCGCUUUCGCCUGUGACGAAGCGUGAGUGACGGUAAUGGGUAAAGAAGCACCGGCUAACUACGUG